GAGCCUAUAGUUCAAUUGGUCAGAACUUGCCGCUCAUAACGGCACCGUUGCAGGUUCAAGUCCUGCUAGGCUCA
rnacentral:tRNA from 1 species